rnacentral:rRNA from 1 species
GUGUCAGCAGCCGCGGUAAUACGUAGGUGACAAGCGUUAUCCGGAAUUACUGGGCGUAAAGCGCACGCAGGCGGCGCCUUAAGUCUGACGUGAAAUCUCUCGGCUUAACCGGGAGGGGUCGUUGGAGACUGAGGUGCUUGAGGCGAUGAGAGGGGUGUAGAAUUCCCGGUGUAGUGGUGGAAUGCGUAGAUAUCGGGAGGAAUACCAGUGGCGAAAGCGACACCCUGGCGUUAGCCUGACGCUCAUGUGCGAAAGCGUGGGGAGCGAACGGGAUUAGAUACCCCGGUAGUCCACGCUGUAAACGAUGAAUACUAGGUGUGGGUCGAGUGAAAUCGGUCUGUGCCGAAGCAAACGCGCUAAGUAUUCCGCCUGGGGAGUACGGCCGCAAGGCUAAA